rnacentral:rRNA from 1 species
AGUGAACGCUGGCGGUAGGCCUAACACAUGCAAGUCGAACGGCAGCACAGUAAGAGCUUGCUCUUACGGGUGGCGAGUGGCGGACGGGUGAGGAAUACAUCGGAAUCUACUUUUUCGUGGGGGAUAACGUAGGGAAACUUACGCUAAUACCGCAUACGACCUACGGGUGAAAGCAGUGGAUCUUCGGACCUUUCGCGAUUGAAUGAGCCGAUGUCGGAUUAGCUAGUUGGCUGGGUAAAGGCCCACCAAGGCGACGAUCCGUAGCUGGUCUGAGAGGAUGAUCAGCCACACUGGAACUGAGACACGGUCCAGACUCCUACGGGAGGCAGCAGUGGGGAAUAUUGGACAAUGGGCGAAAGCCUGAUCCAGCAAUACCGCGUGGGUGAAGAAGGCCUUCGGGUUGUAAAGCCCUUUUGUUGGGAAAGAAAAGCAGCAGGUUAAUACCCCGCUGUUCUGACGGUACCCAAAGAAUAAGCACCGGCUAACUUCGUG